rnacentral:rRNA from 1 species
AGCAGCCGCGGUAAUUCCAGCUCCAAUAGCGUAUAUUAAAGUUGUUGCAGUUAAAAAGCUCGUAGUUGAAUUUCGGGGUUCUACCGUCGGUCGGGCUACCAAGUCUGUACUGGUGUGUAGAAUUUCUACCUUCUGGGGAACCAUCAUGUUAUUAAUUUAGCGUGGUGGGAAACCAGGACCUUUACCUUGAAAAAAUUAGAGUGUUCAAGGCAGGCUUUUGUCUGAAUACAUUAGCAUGGAAUAAUAGAAUAGGACGGUGGUCCUGUUUUGUUGGUUUCUGAAUCACCGUAAUGAUUAAUAGGGAUAGUUGGGGGCAUUAGUAUUCAAUUGUCAGAGGUGAAAAUUCUUGGAUUUAUUGAAGACUAAACUUCUGCGAAAAGCAUUUGCCAAGGAUGUUUUCAUUUAAUCAAGAACGAAAGUUAGGGGAUCGAAGACGAUCAGAUACCGUCG